GCGUUAAGUUGCAGGGUAUAGACCCGAAACCCGGUGAUCUAGCCAUGGGCAGGUUGAAGGUUGGGUAACACUAACUGGAGGACCGAACCGACUAAUGUUGAAAAAUUAGCGGAUGACCUGUGGCUGGGGGUGAAAGGCCAAUCAAACCGGGAGAUAGCUGGUUCUCCCCGAAAGCUAUUUAGGUAGCGCCUCGUGAAUUCAUCUCCGGGGGUAGAGCACUGUUUCGGCUAGGGGGCCAUCCCGGCUUACCAACCCGAUGCAAACUGCGAAUACCGGAGAAUGUUAUCACGGGAGACACACGGCGGGUGCUAACGUCCGUCGUGAAGAGGGAAACAACCCAGACCGCCAGCUAAGGUCCCAAAGUCAUGGUUAAGUGGGAAACGAUGUGGGAAGGCCCAGACAGCCAGGAUGUUGGCUUAGAAGCAGCCAUCAUUUAAAGAAAGCGUAAUAGCUCACUGGUCGAGUCGGCCUGCGCGGAAGAUGUAACGGGGCUAAACCAUGCACCGAAGCUGCGGCAGCGACACUAUGUGUUGUUGGGUAGGGGAGCGUUCUGUAAGCCUGCGAAGGUGGCCUGUGAGGGUUGCUGGAGGUAUCAGAAGUGCGAAUGCUGACAUAAGUAACGAUAAAGCGGGUGAAAAGCCCGCUCGCCGGAAGACCAAGGGUUCCUGUCCAACGUUAAUCGGGGCAGGGUGAGUCGACCCCUAAGGCGAGGCCGAAAGGCGUAGUCGAUGGGAAACGGGUUAAUAUUCCCGUACUUGGUGUUACUGCGAAGGGGGGACGGAGAAGGCUAUGUUGGCCGGGCGACGGUUGUCCCGGUUUAAGCGUGUAGGUGUGUGUUCCAGGUAAAUCCGGUUCACUUUAACACUGAGGCGUGAUGACGAGGCACUACGGUGCUGAAGCAACAAAUGCCCUGCUUCCAGGAAAAGCCUCUAAGCAUCAGGUAACACGAAAUCGUACCCCAAACCGACACAGGUGGUCAGGUAGAGAAUACCAAGGCGCUUGAGAGAACUCGGGUGAAGGAACUAGGCAAAAUGGUGCCGUAACUUCGGGAGAAGGCACGCUGACAUGUAGGUGAAGUGAUUUACUCACGGAGCUGAAGUCAGUCGAAGAUACCAGCUGGCUGCAACUGUUUAUUAAAAACACAGCACUGUGCAAACACGAAAGUGGACGUAUACGGUGUGACGCCUGCCCGGUGCCGGAAGGUUAAUUGAUGGGGUCAGCGCAAGCGAAGCUCCUGAUCGAAGCCCCGGUAAACGGCGGCCGUAACUAUAACGGUCCUAAGGUAGCGAAAUUCCUUGUCGGGUAAGUUCCGACCUGCACGAAUGGCGUAAUGAUGGCCAGGCUGUCUCCACCCGAGACUCAGUGAAAUUGAACUCGCUGUGAAGAUGCAGUGUACCCGCGGCAAGACGGAAAGACCCCGUGAACCUUUACUAUAGCUUGACACUGAACAUUGAGCCUUGAUGUGUAGGAUAGGUGGGAGGCUUUGAAGCGUGGACGCCAGUCUGCGUGGAGCCGACCUUGAAAUACCACCCUUUAAUGUUUGAUGUUCUAACGUGGACCCGUGAUCCGGGUUGCGGACAGUGUCUGGUGGGUAGUUUGACUGGGGCGGUCUCCUCCUAAAGAGUAACGGAGGAGCACGAAGGUUGGCUAAUCCUGGUCGGACAUCAGGAGGUUAGUGCAAUGGCAUAAGCCAGCUUGACUGCGAGCGUGACGGCGCGAGCAGGUGCGAAAGCAGGUCAUAGUGAUCCGGUGGUUCUGAAUGGAAGGGCCAUCGCUCAACGGAUAAAAGGUACUCCGGGGAUAACAGGCUGAUACCGCCCAAGAGUUCAUAUCGACGGCGGUGUUUGGCACCUCGAUGUCGGCUCAUCACAUCCUGGGGCUGAAGUAGGUCCCAAGGGUAUGGCUGUUCGCCAUUUAAAGUGGUACGCGAGCUGGGUUUAGAACGUCGUGAGACAGUUCGGUCCCUAUCUGCCGUGGGCGCUGGAGAACUGAGGGGGGCUGCUCCUAGUACGAGAGGACCGGAGUGGACGCAUCACUGGUGUUCGGGUUGUCAUGCCAAUGGCACUGCCCGGUAGCUAAAUGCGGAAGAGAUAAGUGCUGAAAGCAUCUAAGCACGAAACUUGCCCCGAGAUGAGUUCU
rnacentral:rRNA from 1 species